rnacentral:rRNA from 1 species
AUACGGAGGGUGCAAGCGUUACUCGGAAUCACUGGGCGUAAAGCGCGCGCAGGCGGCUAUUUAAGUUGGAUGUGAAAGCCUAUGGCUCAACCAUAGAACUGCAUCCAAAACUAUUUAGCUAGAGUGUGGGAGAGGAAGAUGGAAUUAGUUGUGUAGGGGUAAAAUCCGUAGAGAUAACUAGGAAUACCAAAAGCGAAGGCAAUCUUCUGGAACACUUCUGACGCUGAGGCGCGAAAGCGUGGGGAGCAAACAGGAUUAGAAACCCUUGUAGUCC